rnacentral:rRNA from 1 species
ACGCUGGCGGCAGGCCUAACACAUGCAAGUCGAGCGGUAGAGAGAAGCUUGCUUCUCUUGAGAGCGGCGGACGGGUGAGUAAUGCCUAGGAAUCUGCCUGGUAGUGGGGGAUAACGUUCGGAAACGGACGCUAAUACCGCAUACGUCCUACGGGAGAAAGCAGGGGACCUUCGGGCCUUGCGCUAUCAGAUGAGCCUAGGUCGGAUUAGCUAGUUGGUGGGGUAAUGGCUCACCAAGGCGACGAUCCGUAACUGGUCUGAGAGGAUGAUCAGUCACACUGGAACUGAGACACGGUCCAGACUCCUACGGGAGGCAGCAGUGGGGAAUAUUGGACAAUGGGCGAAAGCCUGAUCCAGCCAUGCCGCGUGUGUGAAGAAGGUCUUCGGAUUGUAAAGCACUUUAAGUUGGGAGGAAGGGUUGUAGAUUAAUACUCUGCAAUUUUGACGUUACCGACAGAAUAAGCACCGGCUAACUCUGUGCCAGCAGCCGCGGUAAUACAGAGGGUGCAAGCGUUAAUCGGAAUUACUGGGCGUAAAGCGCGCGUAGGUGGUUAGUUAAGUUGGAUGUGAAAUCCCCGGGCUCAACCUGGGAACUGCAUUCAAAACUGACUGACUAGAGUAUGGUAGAGGGUGGUGGAGUUUCCUGUGUAGCGGUGAAAUGCGUAGAUAUAGGAAGGAACACCAGUGGCGAAGGCGACCACCUGGACUGAUACUGACACUGAGGUGCGAAAGCGUGGGGAGCAAAC